AAUAAUGUGCUUGACAAAAAGAUCGUCUUGAUAGGGCGAAUUAUGAGAGAAAGCCUCUCCAUUAUUA
rnacentral:tRNA from 1 species